rnacentral:rRNA from 1 species
AUGGCCGACUCCUCCGCGCCGCACUCCAACGGCGGCGCCGUCGCCGUCGCCGACGCCGAGGCGGUGCCCCGCUCCCUGGCGCCGCCGCGGAGGGUGGCGCUGGUGACGGGCAUCACGGGGCAGGACGGGAGCUACCUGACGGAGCUGCUCCUGUCCAAGGGAUACGAGGUGCACGGCCUCAUCCGCCGCUCCUCCAACUUCAACACGCAGCGCCUCGACCACAUCUACCACGACCCGCACGCGACCCCCUCCGCCGCGCUGCGCCCGCCGAUGCGCCUCCACUACGCCGACCUCUCCGACUCCUCCUCGCUCCGCCGCGCGCUCGACCACGUGCUCCCCGACGAGGUCUACAACCUGGCCGCGCAGUCCCACGUCGCCGUCUCCUUCGAGGUCCCCGACUACACCGCCGACGUCACGGCCACGGGCGCGCUCCGCCUGCUCGAGGCCGUCCGCCUCUCCGCCAAGACCAAGCCCAUGCGCUACUACCAGGCCGGGUCCUCGGAGAUGUUCGGGUCCACGCCGCCGCCGCAGAGCGAGGCCACGCCCUUCCACCCGCGGUCACCCUACGCGGCCGCCAAGGUCGCCGCGCACUGGUACACCGUCAACUACCGCGAGGCGUACGGCCUCUUCGCCUGCAACGGCGUGCUCUUCAACCACGAGUCCCCCCGGCGCGGCGAGAACUUCGUCACCCGCAAGAUCACCCGCGCCAUCGGCCGCAUCAAGGUCGGGCUCCAGACCAAGGUCUUCCUCGGCAACCUCUCCGCCGCCAGGGAUUGGGGCUUCGCCGGGGAUUAUGUCGAGGCCAUGUGGCUCAUGCUCCAGCAGGACAAGCCUGAUGACUAUGUUGUUGCCACCGAGGAGUGCCACACGGUGGAGGAGUUCUUGCAGGCUGCUUUUGGGUACACCGGCCUCAACUGGAAGGAUCAUGUGGUGAUUGACAAGAAGUACUUUCGCCCUUCAGAGGUGGACUGUCUGCAGGGAGAUUCGUCCAAGUCAAGGAGAGUGCUUGGGUGGAAGCCCAAGGUCGGCUUCCAGCAGCUAGUUGAGAUGAUGGUUGAUAACGACAUCGAGCUCGCCAAGAAGGAGAAGGUCCUUGUGGAUGCUGGGUACCGCGACCCCAAGCAGCAGCCAUAG